rnacentral:rRNA from 1 species
AGAGUUUGAUCAUGGCUCAGAUUGAACGCUGGCGGCAGGCCUAACACAUGCAAGUCGAACGGUAACAGGAAACAGCUUGCUGUUUCGCUGACGAGUGGCGGACGGGUGAGUAAUGUCUGGGAAACUGCCUGAUGGAGGGGAUAACUACUGGAAACGGUAGCUAAUACCGCAUAAUGUCGCAAGACCAAAGAGGGGGACCUUAGGGCCUCUUGCCAUCGGAUGUGCCCAGAUGGGAUUAGCUUGUUGGUGGGGUAACGGCUCACCAAGGCGACGAUCCCUAGCUGGUCUGAGAGGAUGACCAGCCACACUGGAACUGAGACACGGUCCAGACUCCUACGGGAGGCAGCAGUGGGGAAUAUUGCACAAUGGGCGCAAGCCUGAUGCAGCCAUGCCGCGUGUAUGAAGAAGGCCUUCGGGUUGUAAAGUACUUUCAGCGGGGAGGAAGGGAGUAAAGUUAAUACCUUUGCUCAUUGACGUUACCCGCAGAAGAAGCACCGGCUAACUCCGUGCCAGCAGCCGCGGUAAUACGGAGGGUGCAAGCGUUAAUCGGAAUUACUGGGCGUAAAGCGCACGCAGGCGGUUUGUUAAGUCAGAUGUGAAAUCCCCGGGCUCAACCUGGGAACUGCAUCUGAUACUGGCAAGCUUGAGUCUCGUAGAGGGGGUAGAAUUCCAGGUGUAGCGGUGAAAUGCGUAGAGAUCUGGAGGAAUACCGGUGGCGAAGGCGGCCCCCUGGACGAAGACUGACGCUCAGGUGCGAAAGCGUGGGGAGCAAACAGGAUUAGAUACCCUGGUAGUCCACGCCGUAAACGAUGUCGACUUGGAGGUUGUGCCCUUGAGGCGUGGCUUCCGGAGCUAACGCGUUAAGUCGACCGCCUGGGGAGUACGGCCGCAAGGUUAAAACUCAAAUGAAUUGACGGGGGCCCGCACAAGCGGUGGAGCAUGUGGUUUAAUUCGAUGCAACGCGAAGAACCUUACCUGGUCUUGACAUCCACGGAAGUUUUCAGAGAUGAGAAUGUGCCUUCGGGAACCGUGAGACAGGUGCUGCAUGGCUGUCGUCAGCUCGUGUUGUGAAAUGUUGGGUUAAGUCCCGCAACGAGCGCAACCCUUAUCCUUUGUUGCCAGCGGUCCGGCCGGGAACUCAAAGGAGACUGCCAGUGAUAAACUGGAGGAAGGUGGGGAUGACGUCAAGUCAUCAUGGCCCUUACGACCAGGGCUACACACGUGCUACAAUGGCGCAUACAAAGAGAAGCGACCUCGCGAGAGCAAGCGGACCUCAUAAAGUGCGUCGUAGUCCGGAUUGGAGUCUGCAACUCGACUCCAUGAAGUCGGAAUCGCUAGUAAUCGUGGAUCAGAAUGCCACGGUGAAUACGUUCCCGGGCCUUGUACACACCGCCCGUCACACCAUGGGAGUGGGUUGCAAAAGAAGUAGGUAGCUUAACCUUCGGGAGGGCGCUUACCACUUUGUGAUUCAUGACUGGGGUGAAGUCGUAACAAGGUAACCGUAGGGGAACCUGCGGUUG